rnacentral:lncRNA from 1 species
CGCGCCUCCGCCCGCUGCCUGGAAGCCGCUCGGCGCGGGGCCAACAACCAGAACGACGCCCCGCCCGCCCUGCGGACUCGCCCGGAGCCUCAGGGCGAAGCCCCAGCCCGGGGCGGUGGACCAGGCAAGAUCCCAGCGGAGACCCCGCUGUCUUCACAUCGGCGCUCCUUGGCCUCCGGGGUCCCCAGGCAGUGCGCACGCGGGCCGAACUGAUGUGGACUUAGGAAGCACAUUCAAAAAGGCUGUGUUGGUGGCUUGGAGAAAAAGAAAACAAGUCAAACAACAUGGAGGGCAGAGCGGGCUGCGUGAGGGAUGAAGGAUUCAGACAUGGCCCUGAGAGUUAACAGACAACCUUAGGGGAUCAAACUUGGGGCCUUGCGCUGUGAGGCAGGCAGCGGAACCACUGAGCUAAAUCCCCAGCCUCCUGACUUCUUUCUUGUGUUUAUUUCCAGGAUGGCCUCCUUACCAUUUUGGCACCGCCACACUGCCCUCAUCACAAGGACUGUUGUCACCAAAGUGAUGGCUACUGCUGUAUCUCAUCAACACUGAGCUGAUGUUACGUGGAUGGUUCCUUUGCCCAGUCCCCACCAAUAAUACAGAAUUUUCCAUUGUAUCCAUUUGGCGAUGUCAGUGAGGAAGAGCUGAUUUGAGUAAAACAUCUAAGCUCAAAUCAUUUUCUGCAAUCUCUAUCUGGCUUGAAAUUUCAUGUCAGUAUCAGUUUUUAAAAUUUCUUUUCCAUUUUCCUUAUUUAGACUUUGCAGAACAAAGGAUACUUUAUUCUCAAUCUUCCUGGCCCUAAAUAUGAAUCUGAGAAUGCUUGUUUUACGAUGCCUUUGAUUUCUUUCUUAGUCUUUCAAAACAACAAU